AUUCAUGGCGCGGCUCCCAUGCAGUCGAGCGGUAGGAGGUGUUGGGUCUGAUCCUAGCGGGCGACGGGGGAGUAAUGCUUACGAAUCUGGCAUGGAGUGGGGGACAACAUUCCGAAAGGGAUGCUAAUACCGCAUACGUCCUACGGGAGAAAGCAGGGGAUCUUCGGACCUUGCGCUAAAUGAUGAGCCUAAGUCGGAUUAGCUAGUUGGUGGGGUAAAGGCCUACCAAGGCGACGAUCUGUAGCGGGUCUGAGAGGAUGAUCCGCCACACUGGGACUGAGACACGGCCCAGACUACUACGGGAGGCAGCAGUGGGGAAUAUUGGACAAUGGGCGGAAGCCUGAUCCAGCCAUGCCGCGUGUGUGAAGAAGGCCUUUUGGUUGUAAAGCACUUUAAGCGAGGAGGAGGCUACCUGGAUUAAUACUCUGGGAUAGUGGACGUUACUCGCAGAAUAAGCACCGGCUAACUCUGUGCCAGCAGCCGCGGUAAUACAGAGGGUGCGAGCGUUAAUCGGAUUUACUGGGCGUAAAGCGUGCGUAGGCGGCUGAUUAAGUCGGAUGUGAAAUCCCUGAGCUUAACUUAGGAAUUGCAUUCGAUACUGGUCAGCUAGAGUAUGGGAGAGGAUGGUAGAAUUCCAGGUGUAGCGGUGAAAUGCGUAGAGAUCUGGAGGAAUACCGAUGGCGAAGGCAGCCAUCUGGCCUAAUACUGACGCUGAGGUACGAAAGCAUGGGGAGCAAACAGGAUUAGAUACCCUGGUAGUCCAUGCCGUAAACGAUGUCUACUAGCCGUUGGGGCCUUUGAGGCUUUAGUGGCGCAGCUAACGCGAUAAGUAGACCGCCUGGGAGUACGGUCGCAAGACUAAAACUCAAAUGAAUUGACGGGGCCCGCACAGCGUGGAGCAUGUGGUUUAUUCGAUGCAACGCGAAACCCUACCUGGCCUUGACAUAUAAAACUUUCAGAGAUGGAUUGUGCCUCGGAAUCUACAUACAGGUGCUGCAUGCUGUCGUCAGCUCUGUCGUGAGAUGUGGUAGUCCGCACGAGCGCCACCUUUCUACUGGCAGCAUUUCUGAUGGACUUAGGAACUGCCAUGAAACUGAAGAAGCGGACACU
rnacentral:rRNA from 1 species